AGGGUUGUAGUAGAUAUUCUGCAAGUGUACACAUCACCUGUGGCAGAAGUUUGUCCAAAGGCAGCAGCUGGAGACACCUACUAGUACAAAUUUGGAAAUUAUACCUGGCUAAAGUGAAUGGAAKAGUCCUUCUCUCACUCUGGUUGUGCUUUUCCAGUGCCCUAAAUGAUUCCAGCAAAAGGCCCUGCCACUUCAGCCUUUGGCUUCACAGGUAAAAGGUUUUCUUCUGCCUCUGAUUGCUUUUAAAUGUCACUCUGCUGCCUAAGGCUGCUGGUAGGUGGUCUGAGCUGAAUGGUUACCAUUAGAUGCCUCAUACCUAUACCCAUUUUCCAUGUCUGAUCCUGACCUGGUGACCUUCUUCUCCAAAUGCCAAAGGUUAAUGCUUCAGUUCAGUGUGCAUCUGAAUGAUGAAGGCAGGGACUGCUGCAAACAAUUUCAUGCARGCAAUGUGCAUGUAAUGAAAGGUAUGUUAACACUUGAAAUCCAGUCAGUUGAGGAUUAAAAAUAGGCUUAAGUGCUAUUUGGGAUCUCUUUAUUUUUAAAGGCUUUUAUCUACUUUAUGACWGUAUGAAGGACUAAUGAUAGAGGAUACUGAGUACAUAGAAAUCAUGUUUCUCUUUGCUUAGUGCCUGCUCCAAGGCCACUUGAAACAGGAGGAGCCUUUGCAUAGCAGACAAAGCGAAAAAAACCCUUAUUUUUACCCUCAAAUGUUGAUUUACAGGAACAGAAGUGUUACUUCACAUGCAAAUCCUCUUUUUCUGUAGUUGGACUAUUGGUAGAGUUUGUUAAAUAUAUUAUUAAAAUAAUGCAAUCUUUUAAUUUWUCUUUUAGCAGGUCUCAAAACAUUCUAAAAGCCGAAGCCUCAAUAUUACAAUGAUCUAGGUAGUAAUUGAAUUGCAGCCCAGCUAAAAUGACCAGGACAGACAAACUGUGGGCUGCUCAAUUCAUAGGGAUGAAGCCACUGACAGCCCUGCUCAUUUGGUGGACACUCAUUCAUUUUCCUUGCUUUCCUACAGCUCCAGGCUGUGCYGAUCUCACACGUAUCCAACAUCAUCUCACGCUGCUUUAGCCAUCCYAGCACAGCUCCUGCAGCAAGAGUCCAGCUGCCCUCUGGAGUCCCUGGGAACAGACAGGCACCUUGAGCAGGCCACCUUCCAGCCUCUCAUUCCUUCUCCCUCAGGCAAAGUGUCUCCUCUGUCGAGCAA